rnacentral:tRNA from 1 species
GGAGAGGUGACAGAGCGGUCGAAUGUACCGGUCUUGAAAACCGGCGUAGUGAAAGCUACCGUGGGUUCGAAUCCCACCCUCUCCGCCA